rnacentral:rRNA from 1 species
CCUACGGGAGGCAGCAGUGGGGGAUAUUGCACAAUGGGGGAAACCCUGAUGCAGCGACGCCGCGUGGGUGCAGAAGCGCCUCGGCGCGUAAAGCCCUGUCAGCAGGGAAGAAAAUGACGGUACCUGAAGAAGACGCCCCGGCUAACUACGUGUCAGCAGCCGCGGUACUACGUAGGGGGCAAGCGUUAUCCGGAUGUACUGGGUGUAAAGGGGGCGCAGACGGCGAUGCACGCCAGGAGUGAAAGCCCGGGGCCCAACCCCGGGACUGCUAUUGGAACUGCGUGGCUAGAGUGCAGGAGGGGCAGGCGGAAUUCCUGGUGUAGCGGUGAAAUGCGUAGAUAUCAGGAGGAACACCGGUGGCGAAGGCGGCCUGCUGGACUGCAACUGACGUUGAGGCCCGAAAGCGUGGGGAGCAAACAGGAUUAGAUACCCGAGUAGUC